rnacentral:lncRNA from 1 species
CAGGGUGCCCCCACUGUGUGUUCCUUAUGGCCCCUAUAGUGCGUCCCUUAUAUCCCCUAUACAUCCCCUAUAGCCCCCACUGUGCGUCCCGUAAGCCCCUGUGCUACAAACCCUAUAGACUCCAUUCAAUAUCUUCUAUACUCCUUAUGGCGCAUCCCCUAUAGCCCCCAUAGUUUCUCCCCUAUAUUCCCCGUGGCACGUCCCCUAUCACCCCCACAGCGUGCUCCUUACAGCCCCAUGCCCUGUCCCCUAUAGCCCCCAUCAUGUGCCCCCUAUAUUCCCCACAGCAUGUCUCCUAUAGGCCCCAUCGUCUGCCCCCUAUGUUCCCUGUGCCAUACCCCCAAUAUCCCCCCAUAAUGCACCCCGUGCAGCCCCACUCCACCUCCCCCGCAGUGCACCCUCCACAUGCCCCACGGCACAUCCCCUAUAUACCCCCCCCUUGCCCCAUGCCUACCACUGCCCCUAUAGCCCCUAUGGGUGCAGGGAGGGCCGCGAUCCUGUGGGGCUGCAGGCGGCGCUGGCAGAACUGAGGGAGCACAACCGGGAGCUGCGGCAGCGCCUGCACCAGCGGCACGAGGAGGCGCAGGAGCUGCAGCGGGCGCUGAUGGGCGCACAGGCACGAGCCCGGGCAGCGGCGGAGGCACGGGCACAGCUGGAGCGGGAGCAGCGGGGGCUGCAGGGGCGGCUGCAGCACCCUGGGGUGCCCCCGCACCCGGCUGAGGCCACCCUGCGUGCCCGCUGCUUCCACCUGCAGGAGCUGCUGCAGCGCGAGGCGGGGGCACGGGCGGCACUGGCGCGGGCAUCGCGGGCAGCAGGACGGCGGCUGCGGGUGCUGCUGGCGGAGGUGGAGGAGCAGCGGCUGCGGGGGGAGCGCUACCGCCUGCAGGUGUGACCCACUGACGCUGUCCCGCACCGUGCGCCGCAUGCUGCGGGGGGAGGACGAGGACAGUGAGGAGAGCGGGGACAGUGACAUCGGCGGGGGGCACGACACCAUCCCUGGGGAGCAGCCCUAAAAGGGACCCCCCUGGGGUCAGCUUCA